GGAUGUGAGGGCAAUAUGACUGUGACAUGUCACCCAUUGAUUACUAGGGUUGAUUCAAGCUGCUAGGCAGGUAUCCCAUUUGUCCCUUAGGCCCCAUUUGCAUCCCUUCCAAACUGCCUGCUCAGUCAAAGAAGACAGCUUCCCCCAAAGAGGAGGACUGAUCUUCUGCCAAGGGUAUAUAAGUAGCUGCUUUCCCCUGCUAGAACCUCCAAACAAGCUCUCCCAGGCUAGCCUGGACCACAUGACCCUAUCUCGAAAGAAAGGAAGAAAGGAAGGAAGGAAGAAAGAAAGAAA
rnacentral:snRNA from 1 species